UAAAACGAUUGUGGUGAAAUUGCAGCCGAAGCAAUUUUGGGAAGAAUUUCGGUGCAUGUUUCGGUUCAACGUACCGGAAAACAGGCACAUCGGGUGCCGGACUCAGUGCAGCCCAGCAGUUAGGCUGAAAAAUUCAGUUUUUCAGUGUCGGCGAUGCUGCUUUCUUUUGCAGCUCAAGUACGCCGCCGGGGGGAUUUCCCUCGUGGGUGGCGCUAUGGCACCGCAGAGAUUUCGGACCUUGCCAAUGUCUGUAGACAUAAAUUGUUCACUUCAUUCACCAUGUAACUACGGAAGCUGGGUCAAAAAAUUAAAGAAAAACAAUCCCUUCAUGCCUUAAAAGUAAGUUUAAAUAUAAAAAUAAAUAAAAAUGUAUAGUGAAAA